rnacentral:rRNA from 1 species
UAGGGAAUCUUCCACAAUGGGCGAAAGCCUGAUGGAGCAACGCCGCGUGAGUGAUGAAGGCCUUCGGGUUGUAAAACUCUGUCAUUCGGGACGAACCGGAGUCUGAGGAAAUGCAGACUCUCUGACGGUACCGGAGGAGGAAGCCCCGGCUAACUACGUGCCAGCAGCCGCGGUAAUACGUAGGGGGCAAGCGUUGUCCGGAUUCACUGGGCGUAAAGCGCGCGCAGGCGGUGAUGUAAGUCUGAGGUGAAAACCCGAAGCUCAACUUCGGGACUGCCUUGGAUACUGCGUCACUUGAGGAUAGUAGAGGCAAGGGGAAUUCCACGUGUAGCGGUGAAAUGCGUAGAGAUGUGGAGGAACACCUGUGGCGAAGGCGCCUUGCUGGCCUAUUUCUGACGCUGAGGCGCGAAAGCGUGGGGAGCAAACAGG